rnacentral:siRNA from 1 species
ACAUCCAAAGUUCUUAAAUCGAA